GUUGUAUAGUCAAGUAAUUAAGUGCAUGUGGUGGAUGCUUGGCAGUCAGAGGCGAUGAAAGACGUGAUAGCCUGCGAAAAGCUCCGGGGAGGCGGAAAUAUCCUUUGAUCCGGAGAUGCUGAAUGGGGGAACCACCUACUU
rnacentral:rRNA from 1 species